rnacentral:rRNA from 1 species
GACGAACGCUGGCGGCGUGCUUAACACAUGCGAGUCGAACGGAAAGGCCCUGCUUUUGUGGGGUGCUCGAGUGGCGAACGGGUGAGUAACACGUGAGUAACCUGCCCUUGACUUUGGGAUAACUUCAGGAAACUGGGGCUAAUACCGGAUAGGAGCUCCUGCUGCAUGGUGGGGGUUGGAAAGUUUCGGCGGUUGGGGAUGGACUCGCGGCUUAUCAGCUUGUUGGUGGGGUAGUGGCUUACCAAGGCUUUGACGGGUAGUCGGCCUGAGAGGGUGACCGGCCACAAUGGGACUGAGAUACGGCCCAGACUCCUACGGGAGGCAACAGUGGAGAAUAUUGCACAAUGGGCGGAAGCCUGAUGCAGCAACGCCGCGUGCGGGAUGACGGCCUUCGGGUUGUAAACCGCUUUCGCCUGUGACGAAGCGUGAGUGACGGUAAUGGGUAAAGAAGCACCGGCUAACUACGUG